AGGACAAUCAUCAUCAUGAUCGAAUCCUCUAGGUCCUUUGAGUUAGUUUAUGUUCAUGUCAAGGAGCUUUUGCUAACUAGUCAUAGAGUUUACGACCUUGGAAUGACCGAAAGAACUUGAUUUUGAUCAUAUACAUGUCAUUUUGGCUUCGACUUAUGCCCACAUUGACACGACCCACCCUGAAUUUCACCCUGAAACCCGGAGUAAGUCGUGCGGGGACCACCUCCAAGGAAAAUUUAAUGAAAAGAUUUAAGAAAAUCUCCCUUGCAGAUAGACAACCCUAACUCGAAAAUUCCAAAUUACACUCUUAAAUCAACACUUCCAAACAUCACAUAAUUAUCCUUCAGAAAUUCUACACAUAAUAUACAAUAAUCCCAAAGUAUUCAGAGCUACUAAACACAAGCGGAAGCAAGAAAACACGAGUAGGUUGAACAAGUAACCUACUGACGAAAACUGGCAGAAAUGCGGGUGACUAUGCCUCGCCUCCUACUAGAUCCAACCCGAACUCUGCAGACUGGGCAAUUUAAACGAAGGGCCCAGGGGAAAACAUUUAAUAACGUUAGAGUGAGUGGACAAAAAUAAAAUAAUAAAUNNNNNNNNNNNNNNNNNNNNUCAUAAAAUAUCGAGCCUCUCAGACUCUAUAAUAUAUGUAUGUAUUUACACUCGUCCAUACUCCCUAUAUAAAUUCAUGGGUCUAUAUAGGGCUACUACGCUCGCGUCCAACGCUCACGUCACGCCUUAAUGCGGUGCUUCACUACGCCAUCAAGGUGGACAGACGAGUGUAUAAAUAUGUGUCCAUACCCCCUAUAUGAAUUAAACACUCAAAUAGGGCUACUACGCUUACGUCCAACGCUCACGUCACACCAUAAUGCGGCUAUAUGCUACGCCAUUAAGGUGGACAGACACAUAUGGCUAGCUAGCAUUUAUAUACAUACUCUCUCAUAAAUACAUAUUUAUAUCCACCGAAAAUCCCAUUUUCGGUAACUCUCCAAGAGAAAUAAAAAUCGUCAAAUUUAAAAUGACGUUAAAAUAUUCCGCAACAUUAAUUGUUCAACCAUGAACUAUAGCAUGCAUUUAUUUAAAAUAAACGUCCACUCACAAAUUAGGCCUAAGCCUGAUGUCGAUCUGGGGCCUCGUCUACUCGAGCCUCCUCACGUCUUGUUCCAAUAUAAUAUUAAUUUCCCGACCAAAAAUCCAAUAUUUAAUCAAAAUAGGCAAAAUUACCCGAGAGCCAUAAAUACGCUCAUCAUUGCCUAACUUCGAUAUUCUUAAAUUGGAACAAUCCGAACUUAAAUAUCAUACUCAACAGUCGUAAAUACAACCUCCCCAAAAUACGACUUAAAUCCUACGGCCGGAUUCUGCAUUAAUUAACCGCCAAAAAUACCAAACUUCGGAAAUUCACGAACCUAUCCAAAUCUCAUCCAAAAAUUUCAUAAAUCACAUCAAUAUACUCCUCUUAAUAUUCCACACUUAAAACCCUAAAAAUCUCCUAACCGGCAGCGGCGGCCGGAGGCCAAUUCUGGCGACCUCCAAAACCUAUGAAAUUUUGACAGAAUAAUCCUCUCAUCAUGCUCUACAACUUUCCUAACUAGCACAAACACCAAUUCCAAGCCUAACUAGGGCAAUCGACUAAAAACAUCAAAAACACCAUAAAACUUCCACCUCAAAUUUCUCCUUACCUAGCUCAAGAGGGAGUGAGUCCUUUUAGGGCAAGGCUGCUGGAUUGGAGUGAGUCCUCUUGAGCUAGGUAAGGAGAAAUUUGAGGUGGAAGUUUUAUGGUGUUUUUGAUGUUUUUAGUCGAUUGCCCUAGUUAGGCUUGGAAUUGGUGUUUGUGCUAGUUAGGAAAGUUGUAGAGCAUGAUGAGAGAAUUAUUCUGUCAAAAUUUCAUAGGUUUUGGAGGUCGCCGGAAUUGGUCUCCGGCCGCCGCUGCCCGCGGAGCCGCCGCCGGUUAGGAGAUUUUUAGGGUUUUAAGUGUGGAAUAUUAAGAGUAGUAUAUUGAUGUGAUUUAUGGAAUUUUUGGAUGAGAUUUGGAUAGGUUCGUGAAUUUCCGAAGUUUGGUAUUUUUGGCGGUUAAUUAAUGCAGAAUCCGGCCGUAGGAUUUAAGUCGUAUUUUGGGGAGGUUGUAUUUACGACUGUUGAGUAUGAUAUUUAAGUUCGGAUUGUUCCGAUUUAAGAAUAUCGAAGUUAGGCAAUGAUGAGUGUAUUUAUGGCUCUCGGGUAAUUUUGCCUAUUUUGAUUAAAUAUUGGAUUUUUGGUUGGGAAAUUAAUAUUAUAUUGGAACAGGACGUGAGGAGGCUCGAGCAGACGAGACCCCAGAUCGACAUCAGGCUUAGGCCUAAUUUGUGAGUGGACGUUUAUUUUAAAUAAAUGCAUUGAACAAUUAAUGUUGUGAGUGGAAUAUUUGUCACAUCCCAUGACCCAUUUCGCCGUAACACGAUAUUGUUCGCUUUGGGCCCACCGGGCCUCACGGUUUUGUUUCCGGCAGCUUCCCAGUAGGUCACCCAUCCUAGGAUUGCUCUAGCAUCAACAUGCUUAACCUCGGAGUACCCAUCCCCUCCGAAGCCGCUGAGCCACCAAAAGGCCUCGUGUUAGAUUGGAGGUGGGCAUGUACAUAUACAGCACAUAACCCCUCUCCGUUUGGCCGAUGUGGGAUAUUACAAUCCACCCCCCUUGGGAGUCCGACGCCCUCGUCGGCACACUCGCACCACACGGCAGAGUGGCUCUGAUACCAUUUGUCACAACCCAGGACCCAUUCCGCCGUAACACGAUAUUGUUCGCUUUGGGCCCACCGGCCCUUACGGUUUUGUUUCCAGCAGCUCAGGAGCAGUUUCCCAGUAGGUCACCCAUCCUAGGAUUGCUCUAGCAUCAACAUGCUUAACCUCGGAGUACCCAUCCCUUCCGAAGCCGUUGAGCCACCAAAAGGCCUCGUGUUAGAUUGGAGGUGGGCAUGUACAUAUACAGCACAUAACCCCUCUCCGUUUGGCCGAUGUGGGAUAUUACACACAUGCCAUCUGCAAGCUUCAUUGCUUUGCAUAUGCCAAAUCUGCCAAAAACACAGCAAUCUGUUCCUUCUAGACAGCCAACUUCGUUUGAGCUUUGUGAACAUCUCCAGACAAUCUAGAACGUGAGCCACAUAUCAUUGGAAAGCUCUAUGUGUCUAGUUUUCAGAACUUUUUGCAGUUCGUCCAUAUCUAUUUUAACGAAGAAGUUAUGGAUGUUUUAGUGCGCAAAGGUCAUGCUGCACGGAAAUUUUUAUGCACUCUCGGGAUUGCAGCUUUUCGUAGCUUCUUUCAAUCCUUUUAAAUGGUUCAAGUGGAACUAUUUACUCACCUAUCUACUCCUUUUUGUAGAUAUAUCUCAUAGAGACAUUAAGUGCCUCGCAGAUAGUGGAACAAUCCACAAAAUUCUAAGGAACCGGCAACUAUCUUUGGAUUUUGUGCCUUUAUAAAUCUUUUGUAACUACAAUAAUUGAAUCAUACCGGUCAUUUUGGGACACGGUUUAGCUUGCAUCUUGAUGCCUUAUGACUCCAUGAUCAAUGUCACAGAUGCCCUCUGACACGACCCACCCCGAAUUUCACCCUGAAACCCAGAGUAAGUCGUGCGGGGACCACCUCCAAGGAAAAUUUACUGAAAAGAUUAAGAAAAUCUCCCUUGCAGAUGGACAACCCUAACUCGAAAAUUUCAUAUUACACUCUUAAUUUAACGCUUCUGAAUAUCACAUAAUAUACAAAAUUCUAAAGUAUUCAGAGCUACUAAACACAAGCGGAAGCAAGAAAACACAAGUAGGUUGAACAGGUAACCUACUGAUGAAAACUGGCCGAAAAGCGGGUGACUAUGCCUCGUCUCCUACUAGAUGCAACCCGAACUCUGCAGACUGGGCAAUUUAAAACGAAGGGCCCAGGGGAAAACAUUUAAUAACGUUAGAGUGAGUGGACAAAAAUAAAUUAAUAAUUAAAAUAUUUAUGUUUCCCCAAAUUAAUUUCUAAAGGAAAAAUCGAAUGCAUGCC
rnacentral:lncRNA from 1 species